rnacentral:ncRNA from 15 species
CGCAGCGCGCGCGACUGGCGAUAGGCCGCGGGGCCGGCUGUGGCCCCGGCACGAUGCAAUGGCCGACGUGGACCACCACGGGGGAGCGCGCAGCACACCGUCACCUGCGGUUUGCCGCCUCGCCGUUCGCCUGGGCAGCCCGU